UGCCCCAGCUGCAUUGGCGACCUCUUCCUCCUCCUCUGCCUUCGCCUUGUGCUUCCACUGAGCACCUGGUGUCAGUUGGGAAUGCCCUCAGCAGCGCGUCUACCAGCGUGCGCUUGUAGUCGCGCAUCUUCCGAUCACACUCCAGUGAGGGAAUUAAGGACGGCACAUUGUCCUUGUAACAGGGAUCCAGCAGGGUGGCCACCCAGUAAUCAGCACAAGUUAGAAUAUGGGCAACUCGGC